UACGUAGGGACCAAGCGUUGUUCGGAUUUACUGGGCGUAAAGGGCGCGUAGGCGGCGUGGUAAGUCACUUGUGAAAUCUCUGAGCUUAACUCAGAACGGCCAAGUGAUACUGCUGUGCUAGAGUGCAGAAGGGGCAAUCGGAAUUCUUGGUGUAGCGGUGAAAUGCGUAGAUAUCAAGAGGAACACCUGAGGUGAAGACGGGUUGCUGGGCUGACACUGACGCUGAGGCGCGGAAAGCCAGGGGAGCAAACGGG
rnacentral:rRNA from 1 species